CAAUUAAGCCAAAUGGUCGCUCCGAAAAAUAUUUUGGAGAGGAAAGUCCGAACACCAGAUAAGGGUAAUGGGUAACGCCCACCCGGUUCCGAGCAAUCGGAAUUGAGGACCAGUGCCACAGAGACAAUACUAUUCCGCUUAGGCGGGAAAAAGGUGAAAAGUGUUUUGGUGUUUUAAGUUAAAAACGGGAUAUCCCUUUAACUUACGGCUACAAAACUCAAACCGCAGUGAUGCGGAUUUUGUGGUAAACUCUACCCGGUGCAAUGCCAGAUGUCCUCCGACUCUGCGUCGGAGGGGUAGGCAGCUUGAGUCCGGCGGCGACGCCGGGCCUAGACAGAUGACCGUUGAUAUUUAUCCAUGGUAAAAUCAAUUACAGGGUUAAUAUUACAGAAUUCGGCUUAUAAGCUUGAUUGGACA
rnacentral:RNase_P_RNA from 1 species